rnacentral:misc_RNA from 1 species
AAGUCGUAACAAGAUUUCCGUAGGUGAACCUGCGGAAGGAUCAUUAACACGUAUCCAAACGUUAAAACCCCCCCCGUGAACCUUCAUCCUGCUCUUGUAACCCGCGUAGUUCGCAAUCUCUGAUAAAUCAUAGCCCGGAAAGUUGUAGUGAUUCAGAGACCUCUGGAUACGUGGCAAUGUUUCCCCAAGCAGUCAGUGUCGGAAAGUGUCACUGAUUGUGCAAGGAUAGCGCUUCUACGAUUCCUGUAGACCGUACACUCGGGCAGGAGCUUUGCCAAAGGGUCCCCAUGCCCCCUAAUAACCCCACACUUUAAUGUGAAGCUCAAUGUAAUACAUUGGGUAAAAAAACCGAACAACUGUUAACAAUGGAUAUCUUGGUUCUC